rnacentral:rRNA from 1 species
UACGUAGGGGGCUAGCGUUGUCCGGAAUCAUUGGGCGUAAAGCGCGUGUAGGCGGCUCACUAAGUCUGCUCUGAAAGUCCGGGGCUCAACCCCGGGAGGCGGGUGGAUACUGGUGGGCUAGAGUGCGGAAGAGGCGAGUGGAAUUCCUGGUGUAGCGGUGAAAUGCGCAGAUAUCAGGAGGAACACCAAUUGCGAAGGCAGCUCGCUGGGACGUGACUGACGCUGAGACGCGAAAGCGUGGGGAGCAAACAGGAUUAGAAACCCUAGUAGUCC